CACGGCGGCUUCACCCGCAGCGGACCAGGCUUUGGAGAACCUUGGGACUCAGGUGCUGAGGUGCCCAGCGGCUCCGGACGUGCUACGGGGUGUGAGCGCGGGGGAGUUCGGGGCGCACGACAAGGAAGGGCCCCCGGGAGCUCUAUAUGGAGGAAGGAGCCCAGAAUGGUGUGCACCAGGAAGACCAAAACUUUGGUGUCCACUUGCGUGAUCCUGAGCGGCAUGACUAACAUCAUCUGCCUGCUCUACGUGGGCUGGGUCACCAACUACAUCGCCAGCGUGUAUGUGCGGGGGCAGGAGCCGGCGCCCGACAAGAAGCUGGAGGAAGACAAAGGGGACACUCUGAAGAUUAUUGAGCGGCUGGACCACCUGGAGAAUGUCAUCAAGCAGCACAUUCAAGGCUAUAGGAGAAAUUCCUCCCUUCUGAAUGUGUCCAACUAGCUCUGUUCACCUGAGAAAUCACAUUCCCCAGCUCUGGGUACCCCUGAAUAACCACAGGAGAACAGAACUCUAUUUCUCUCUUUGUGUAUGUGUCUGUGUGUGUGUGUGUGUGUCCCUGGUCUGAACAGUUUCAGGCCCUGAUAAGUCAGCUAUUGCAAGGGGGACCUGGCUGGAAGAUAUGAAGGAAAAAUAUCAUUCUUGAACUAAUAAGUUGAGAGAUCACAGCCUCCAGGGGACCAGAAGGGAAGGCUGAACAGAGACGGGCACUUUCAUGUUCGCCAUGUCCAUUUUUCUAUCAUCAUGAGCCAUCUCACCUUACAGGCAGGGAAGUUUUGAGCUUAGAGAAUGGGAUGGGUCAAGAAAACCAUGGCUCCCCUAGCUCUGUUCCUGGAUUCAGUGCCUGUUGUUUCAUCCUGUGUAGACUGGAGUCAGGGUCUACACAGUUGGAAUUCUAUGGAGCCAAGAUGCUGUGUGGCAGAUGAAUGUGGACUCCAACUGUGACAAUCCAAAAGGCCUUGGGGACUUGUUUCAUGCACAGCUCCCUGUAGGAUCUCUGUUGGGGUGGGGGAUUCUAGGGGCAUCUCUGCAGUUUUCUUCUGAAAACAAAAUGAAUACAUGUUGGGCAGGUGCAACAACUGUGCAUGCAGUCGCCUCCCAGGGCUGGUUAGCAGUAUUGUUGGGUACCGUAAGCACUUAGCAUUGUUAAGUGAGCGUAAGUAACAAGAUGCAACAGCCUCUGGUCAAGUUUUGAAGAUUUUGUUUUAAAGUAUGCUUUUAGAUUUUAACAUUCAUUAUGAUUAAAAGGAACAAAACUCAAUUUGGGGUCUCAAGAGCCACAAUUCUAGACUUCUAGGAUGUCAGGAGCCAUGCUCUUAAGCUUCUCACCCUGCUGUUUUAAUGAGAUUAAUGAUUAUUUUCCACUGACCACCUACCUGUGAUGUUCAUAAAAAAGUGAAAUAAAUGACUCACAUGGAGAUUUGGAAGGAUGUCACUGUGGAAAGUAGAUGUUAACAGCCUCUAGAAAUAUGAUGAUUAUCAGCUAUUUGAGAUGCAGUCACUGUAAUAUGAUAACAAGAUGUGUUAUGCAAGUAGAAAGCAUGGAGAGAAAUGGCACAAAGAAGAGUUAUAAGAAAAAAGAAAGAAGAGA
rnacentral:sRNA from 1 species